rnacentral:rRNA from 1 species
GACGAACGCUGGCGGCGUGCCUAAUACAUGCAAGUCGAACGCAGUGGGGACGGGUGAGUAACACGUGGGUAACCUCCCAUCAGAGGGGAUAACACUUGGAAACAGGUGCUAAACCGAUACUGAUGGAUGGACCCGCGGUGCAUUAGCUAGUUGGUGAGGUAACGGCUCACCAAGGCCACGAUGAAUAGCCGACCUGAGAGGGGGAUCGGCCACACUGGGACUGAGAGACGGCCCAGACGCCAACGGGAGGCAGCAUUAGGGAAUAUUCGGGAAUGGACGAAAGUCUGACCGGGCAACGCCGCGUGAGUGAAGAAGGUUUUCGGAUCGUAGAACGCUGUUGUUAGGGGAGCGGUAUCUAGCCAGAAAGCCACGGCUAACUACGUGCCAGCCGCCGCGGUAAUUC